rnacentral:rRNA from 1 species
ACGAACGCUGGCGGCGUGCCUAAUACAUGCAAGUCGAACGAAACUUUCUUACACCGAAUGCUUGCAUUCACCGUAAGAAGUUGAGUGGCGGACGGGUGAGUAACACGUGGGUAACCUGCCUAAAAGAAGGGGAUAACACUUGGAAACAGGUGCUAAUACCGUAUAUCUCUAAGGAUCGCAUGAUCCUUAGAUGAAAGAUGGUUCUGCUAUCGCUUUUAGAUGGACCCGCGGCGUAUUAACUAGUUGGUGGGGUAACGGCCUACCAAGGUGAUGAUACGUAGCCGAACUGAGAGGUUGAUCGGCCACAUUGGGACUGAGACACGGCCCAAACUCCUACGGGAGGCAGCAGUAGGGAAUCUUCCACAAUGGACGCAAGUCUGAUGGAGCAACGCCGCGUGAGUGAAGAAGGUCUUCGGAUCGUAAAACUCUGUUGUUAGAGAAGAACACGAGUGAGAGUAACUGUUCAUGCGAUGACGGUAUCUAACCAGCAAGUCACGGCUAACUACGUGCCAGCAGCCGCGGUAAUACGUAGGUGGCAAGCGUUGUCCGGAUUUAUUGGGCGUAAAGGGAACGCAGGCGGUCUUUUAAGUCUGAUGUGAAAGCCUUCGGCUUAACCGGAGUAGUGCAUUGGAAACUGGAAGACUUGAGUGCAGAAGAGGAGAGUGGAACUCCAUGUGUAGCGGUGAAAUGCGUAGAUAUAUGGAAGAACACCAGUGGCGAAAGCGGCUCUCUGGUCUGUAACUGACGCUGAGGUUCGAAAGCGUGGGUAGCAAACAGGAUUAGAUACCCUGGUAGUCCACGCCGUAAACGAUGAAUGCUAGGUGUUGGAGGGUUUCCGCCCUUCAGUGCCGCAGCUAACGCAAUAAGCAUUCCGCCUGGGGAGUACGACCGCAAGGUUGAAACUCAAAGGAAUUGACGGGGGCCCGCACAAGCGGUGGAGCAUGUGGUUUAAUUCGAUGCAACGCGAAGAACCUUACCUGGUCUUGACAUCCACAGAACUUUCCAGAGAUGGAUUGGUGCCUUCGGGAACUGUGAGACAGGUGCUGCAUGGCUGUCGUCAGCUCGUGUCGUGAGAUGUUGGGUUAAGUCCCGCAACGAGCGCAACCCCUAUCUUAUGUUGCCAGCACGUAAUGGUGGGAACUCAUGAGAGACUGCCGCAGACAAUGCGGAGGAAGGCGGGGAUGACGUCAAAUCAUCAUGCCCCUUAUGACCUGGGCUACACACGUGCUACAAUGGACGGUACAACGAGUCGCGAGACCGCGAGGUUUAGCUAAUCUCUUAAAGCCGUUCUCAGUUCGGAUUGUAGGCUGCAACUCGCCUACAUGAAGUCGGAAUCGCUAGUAAUCGCGAAUCAGCAUGUCGCGGUGAAUACGUUCCCGGGCCUUGUACACACCGCCCGUCACACCAUGAGAGUUUGUAACACCCAAAGCCGGUGGGGUAACCGCAAGGAGCCAGCCGUCUAAGGUGGGACAGAUGAUUGGGGUG